UCAGAGGAGUCUGUCCAGGUCAUCUCCACACAGUGGUUUCCUUUCUGUCCCGCCACCGAAAAAUACACGGCCCCCAACUGCACUAACAGGAAGAGAACAGAGCCACAAGUCAACUGAAAGGAAGAGAGGAAAGAAGGCAUUUCCCCCCACCUCUGGCAAAGGGACUGAAGGUGGCCAGAAGAAGGAAGAUGCCUUUCUAAGUUAGUUCUUCUAGUUUUCAUCCUGACAUUAUUCAAGGGAAGGCGUCAUGGGCACAUGGAAGGACAGAUCUUUGUUUUGAAGUCCUGUCCCUCCUCAUCAUUCACGGAAAGUAGUAACAAGCCGCUAACGAGCAGAAUGUCUCAUCUGAAAUGUAGGAGGAAGGAAGUCCGUCCCCAAGAGACGCCUCUCCCCACCAGUGAAGGACUCGGCCAGUGGUGAGCAUGAGGAAAGUACAUGGCUCCUUCCGUGCUGUCUCUUGGUGGUGGGGUGCAGGUAGGGGGGGUUCGGGAACAUAAAGGUCUUCUACACGUGGACUUCAUAAAAACUUUGUGUUAUAAAAGGUUAUAAAAAUGUCUAAAGCAGUCACGGGAAUUGUUUCGUUUGAUCUCUGCACCAAGGAUGUAGGGCCUGCAAAGUGCAGGAGGCAUGUUUUUUACACUGGCCAUUUUAGUAUUCAUGUCUCCUGUACUGCUUUCUAAUAAGUUAAGAAUGAAACGGGAGACUGCGUGCAGGAGUGAGAAAUGCAGGGGAAGCAGUACUGUAAAAUAAAAAUGAACGAAAGUGCAUCCCAACUUCCCUUCUAUUAUCAACAGUCGAGAGAAAAACAAUGCCAAUUUUACUGUUACUACUUAACAUUUUACACUGACAAGAGGACUUCACAGUCAUUUUUAUAUGUUAUUUCCCAAUACUUUUUCUGUGAGAGACCACGGAGCUCCAUCCCUAUUCUCAACAUUAAUUAUAUAAUGUUAUAUUAAAUGAUUUUUCCAAAGAGGCAGAUAAAAAUGCAAUCUGUGUCAGCAUGUUACCAAUACAGUCUUUUCAGUGGGAGUAAUUGUUCCCUUUGCUGUUUGGGUAGACCUGACCCCUGACUGGCUGGCGGUUGGAUUUUGUUUUCUUUUAGGUCCUGUCGAUCCACUUUCUCCCUUCUACUCACCCUUCUCCAUUCAAUUUAUUAUUAUUUGUGUACUCCUUAAACUGUGAUUCUAAAAUAUCACAUAAUAGGGUAAGAUCCAAAGAGAGUCACAACUGCCUUUCCUUUGCAUUCUUCUUUGUUGUCCGAUUCGUGUCAGCCAUGUGGUUCCCAUAACUGGGUUUCUGUGCGCCUGCCUGUGGAAUGCCAUCUUUCUCGAAGGAGCGUGUUUAUGAAACAGGCUGAGACAUCUGUGUUCAAGCCACAUGGGCAAAGGAUUCUAAGAGUCAGAGGCUCUAGCUGAGUCGGGUUUUAGGUUUUUGCAAGUUAGUUUAUUUGUCAGUUUGUACGGGGAUAGCCAUUUAAUCAUUAAGCAGAUCCCAAGCCUGGCCCUGUCUGCUAGCAUUAACUGACAUUCACAUCUCCCUGCCAGUAAAUUUAGCGGUUCUUCAGGGGCAAAAGAAUGACAGUGGGAAGCUCUGAAAUCCUUAAUGUUUCGCUGGAUUUAGGGAGAAUUUGGAAUUUUUUUUUUUUCUAUUUGAGUAAGAAACAUUUCUUCCUUUAUUGUUAGAUGGCCCGAAUAGCAUGGAAGUCUGUCUGUGACCAGUCCUAUUUAUUAGCCAAAUAAGAUGCCUUAAUUAAAAAAUAUACACCACAGCAGAAAUCAUCCAGAUAAACUGUCUAUCUCUCUCCAACAAACCUGGAAAAUAUGCCUUCACUUGGGGCCAUGUAGUCACAGCCCAGCAGGUAAUAAACUCUAUUUUUUAAAGUACAAGUCCCAGGGAAAUCAAGAGUGUAAGUGGAGUAGACAUUUAUUUCAAAGCUGUAAGCAUGCCUGACUAUAGAAAAGAGGUUCGAGAUCUUUGAGUAUGUUCCCAUUAUAAGAACUUUUCUAUACAUUCAAGUCUUUAUUUUCUUCCAUUUCAAACCUGUGAAUGGAGUCAACUGACCGUCAUUUCUCUCUCCUGCUGAGUCUGUAGAUUACCACAUGCAACGUAGGAAAACUACGGAAACUAGGUUCCUGGCUCUGGGACCUCGGGACAGAGUGCUGUAUCUAUUGCCCUGUACCUGGUCUCCUCUCUGCAUGGAGAGUGUGAGUUAACUGACACCUCUAGGGUAUAAAGGUCCACACAGUCCUCGUCCUCAGAAUGGUGGUGUUGUGAUAAUAAUGGCCAUGACACCUGCAGGUGGUUGAGCUCACGCUAUGUGCUAGAUGACUUAUAAACACAAUUUUGUUUAGAAAAAUACUCCAAUGGUGCUGACAGAAUGAAGAAGCCACGACUUGGGAAACUGACAUGUCUGGAUCAAGGUCAAAGACAUGGGUUGGAACUCAGGUCUGACUGUUUCAAGUUUAUGUCUUCUUACCACAUCCUUCUAAGUUAAGGUAAAAAAUUUGAGCAGGGUGACCCUACGUUCCCGUCUAUCCCUGUUGUCCCAGCAUAAUCAGUAGGUCCCCAUGUCAUGCUCUGAAGUGUCCCCGUUUGGAGACAAAAUGAUCACUCUGUCCCCAAACAAGCUUUCAAAUGAAACUAAGACUUUUCUCAGAGUAUUAUUCAUAAUGUUUUAGUUAAUCCUUUUGCCUUUAACGAAGGGUUUCAAACCAGUAGCAAACUGGGCCUCGCCUGGUGUAUGUGGGAAAGCAGAUGGGUUUGUGAAUGCCUAUCACUUCUUUUGCUUCUAGGCCUCUGUCCUCUCUCUUCAGGAAUCUUUGUCUUUCCUUUUUCUUCUCUCCUCCUAGCAUCCAUGUCUUAUUCUAUGUAGGCUUUCUCUAGCCUACAGAUUCUUUGGUUUUACUUUAAAAAUACAGCUUGGUCACUCAUUCAGAUGUUCAAAUCUCUAUGAAUGGUCCUUUUGUCAAAAAACAGAGUGAAAACCAUUUUAAGGAUCUGUAACUUAUUUUUCUUCCCUCCUUCUCCUUAAGCUUCCCGCUACUAUCCCCCCACUUCUUCCACAGUGUACAGGUGUCUGGGGAGCUUCCUCGUCGCAGAUCCUGGACGAUGCUACCGGCGGUCUCACCGGGGGGGCAACCACUGAAAGGAGUGACUACCCACCCAUCAAGAGCUGGCAAUUCGCUGCUAUUAACCGUGACUGUGAUUCCCAGUCUGCCUGGCAGCUCCUGAGAACAGGCCUGCAACGUCUCAUAUGCAGUAAAAGCUGUAAGAUGCACCCUGGCCGGCACACUCGACCUGAUGGAUGUGCGAUCCUCGGGAAGGCUAAUGGAUUGAGCACACUUGCAAUUGGCGCGGGGACAGGAGGCCCAGACCCCCACGAGGGGCCUGCUGAUUUAACGGUCGCUUUACAUAUAAUUGAACUUUUCAUUUACCUGAAAGGCUGAAGGUGGUGGUGGAAGAAAGGGAACGACCAUGACGAAAGGAAAAAACUCAAUAAAUACAAAAAGGUCCCUCUUAAAUACGAUCGCGACCCACGGUGGGGGCUCUGAAUCUGUUAGGACACAUUCAGCCCGUCGUUCAGAUUCCAGGACGCUUGGCAAAGUAUGCCCUUGUGGAGAAGCACUGUUUGUUGGUUAAGAACCUAACAUUCGGAGAGUUAACUUAAUACAGUUAAUGACAUUUCCAUGUGAAGGAAGGGAACAGGAGAAUUCCUUUAAUGAAACUCUGGUGCCAGUGAAUGCAUUGUCUAUGCCUCAGUAGAAAAAAUGCCUUCUGGAGAAACUCCUAUCAGGGAAUUAUGGAGAGGGGGAGCUGGACUUCCAGAAGGAUGCCUAAUGUAAUAUCAGUUUGCAAUAUUGAUUUUGUCAUGCAUAAAAAGCCCCCUUGCCUCUUUGAAUUUAAGGUGCUUUGGAACUGUACCCAUAUGCCUUACAGAUCAGUGGUUGGGAAACAAAACCGGAAUCCAACGGCAGAGCGCUCCAUACUUUGAGGAUUUUGGUGAUUGGGGUGGUUUGCUAAGAGCGGUGAUGGAAACUCGGUGUUGUAAGUAGCUUUCUAUUAAUUUGAAAUGAGAACAUACGUCAUUGAUGUUCUUGGGAAUUUCCUAAAUGCGCGGUUACAGGACUGAUGGAGGACUAUUUUAUUGUUGUCAUUUUAAUCCAAAUAAUCAACCACUCGGUGAGUCUAAGACAAGUCAAGAUGAGAGCAAGUACUCUUUUUCAGGCCGCUGCUACUGAGUACCCUAUGGAGACUUCUCCUGUUCAGAGAGAAGGUGCCACUGGGUGGCUGUCUUGCCGUGACACCUCUACCUGCUGCCAGACUGUGGAGGCCGCAUACAGGCCAGGCCAAUACUAUGGUUAGACGAGAGAGGAAAGGACUCAGGGCAGUGAUAGUGGGACCGAAGCAAUCUAAUUCAAUCUCUGUUUUGACAUUUAAAUAAAGGUACUGCUUUUAAAACGUG